rnacentral:rRNA from 1 species
UACGUAGGGUGCAAGCGUUGUCCGGAAUUAUUGGGCGUAAAGAGCUCGUAGGCGGUUUGUCGCGUCUGCUGUGAAAAUCCAGGGCUUAACCCUGGACCUGCAGUGGGUACGGGCAGACUGGAGUGCGGUAGGGGAGAUCGGAAUUCCUGGUGUAGCGGUGAAAUGCGCAGAUAUCAGGAGGAACACCUGCGGCGAAGGCGGGUUGCUGGGCCGACACUGACGCUGAUGCGCGAAAGCCAGGGGAGCGAACGGG